AAAGGAUUAAUUCACAAAUUAAAAAUUUGAAUGUAGUAAUGAAAGUUGGACAAAUUAUGUGGACUCGUUGAAAACUAGGUUGCGUAACUUAUCAUGGAUGAUAACUUCUGAAUUUUUGUUAUUGUAUAUUUCCAUGAUUUGAAAACAUGUUCAAUUCUUAUUUUGAAUAUGUUAUGUUGUUUUCAUUGUGUUGAUACUACAUCAUUGAUAUGAACGACUGCUGUGUAAUAUUGAAAUAAUUAUUCUAUUACAAAUAUAAAAUUUUAGGUUUUUUUAGCAUUUUGUGUCUGACUUCUAAGAAUGCCAUACCAUGUAUUGUAUCUUCUUGAGUUGAGUUUCUUGUUUUACUGUUUGCACCUUGAUGAAUAUUCCGGGGAAAGACACAUUUGUUCAUAGAAUCUUGACUAUGAACGUUGUAUCCUGAAUUUCUAACUUCAACUUCAAUGUUGACUAUCUUUUGAAUCAUUCAAAACCUUUUGUAAUGGAUUCAAACUUUAACAAGAAAUAAUUAUGAGUAACGUUUCAAAUUCAUUCCUUAAUGGUUUGACUGGAGUAAAAGCUUCCUUAAUCUGGCAUUGGGAUCCUCUUUCCCUUGCUAAUCUAGAAAUUAAUGUAUUGCUAGUACAUAGAAAUGAUGUGGGACUAGAAAUCUCAGAUCCUAUUUGGCUUCUCUAAGUCUCCCUAUCUAAAAUGCAACAGUGAAAUUUACUAAUAAUUAAUACUUAAUCAUGAAAUAUUAAUCUAUAAUGAUUACUGUGGCCCAUUUCAGCCAUCCAUAAUUUGAAUAGCAUUUAGUGUAUGUUUUAAUAAAUUAUAUUUAUAUGUUGUUAAUGGUGAAAACUUUGUGUUGAUUUUUAAUCAAGUUCAAGUCAGAUUUUCUAAGAUCAUUGGUUAUUUGAUGCUAAGGUGUUAGAGGUGUUAAAUUUUUAAGAUUGUUGAAGGAUGCUAAAAUUUCUGUAUUAUAUCAUGCACACAUACAUCUACAUGCAAACAAUGCUAGCAAUUGAUCUUGGAAAGAAUUACUGCAGUGAUCCAGGAAUAACAUGUUUGUGUUUCAAUGCAAAGAAAAAUGUGGAUCAAAAUGGAACUGAUAAAUUUCUAAAAGUGGGUUUUGCAUGAAGAAAACAAAAUUGAUGAUGCUAUUAGUUUUGGAUCAUAUUUUCAUUAUUAUAUCAUGGCAUCUUCCUGAGUAUUAGUUUAUUAUGUGAUAUCAUUUGCCUACUCAAUGAUGCAGAUAAUUAAUGUCUACAAUCAA
rnacentral:misc_RNA from 1 species